AUGCGGACAAUUGUGCGGAGGGCAGAGCCCCCACCGGGGCCCCAGCUGGAGGGGGUGCCCCCCCCACCCCACCCCCAGAUCUCAGGAGACCAGGGGAUGGAAGGGCACUGUCCUGGGCCUGGGGUAGCCCGGGACCACCCUGCUUCGCAGGAAAAGAAGGAAACAGAAAAACAAUUAAACCCGGCUGACGGUCUUGUGGGAGGGAGCGCCGAGAACAAUGGCAGGGCCGCCGCGUUCUCGGCGCCGCGCGUCCGGCUAAGUCACAAUGACCGCCAGCAGCCGCACGGCCGCGGGGACCCAGGCCCCGGGGCUCUCAGACGCCAGGAAGGCCAGGCCCACGCCCCCUCCCCAGGCCCGCGACCCCGCUCCGGCCUCUGCGCCCCCCUCUCCAGGCCUGCGACCCCGCUCCGGCCUCUGCGCCCGGGGGACGCGGGGACCCUAACCGCCCACGACGCGCGCCGCGGGCCCGGGUCCAGCCAAGGGGGCGGGGGUCCCCGAGGCCCACACUCCCAUGGCCGCCCGAGGCCCAGCCCCCGCCGGGCCGGGGGUUCCGGCGCAGACCCCACCCCAGCCCGCGUACCUGGAUGCGCGGCGCCCGGGGCCGGAGGCGGCUGCGCGGGGACGCGGGACGCGGGGACGGCGGGCGGGCGAGCGGGUCCCCGCACUGCAGCGGCGCCGCCCUCCGCCCGCCCCCGCGCCGCCGGUCCACCCCAGCAGGGGCUCCCCCUCCCCCGCCCAUCACCCCCCCCCGCCCCCCCCCUGCCCCGCGCUCCCUCCCCGCCCGACACCCCCUGCCCCCUCCCCCCAAUGGCCUCCCCCUCUGGGCCGGCGCCCCCUCCCUGCCCCCACCCUCCCCCACCUCCCACUCCCCGCCUGCCCCUCGACCCUCACUCCCACCCCACCCCCACCCCUGUCUUUCUCCCACAUUCAGGCUUGCCCCCCAUCUUCCCCGGGACCCCCCCCACCCAGCCUACCCCUGUUACCGCUCCCACUCUCCCCUUCCACCGCUCUCCCUGGCCUCCUCUUCGCUGCCCCGACCCCAAGCCCGCCAUCCCCACCCUGGGCAUUGGGGAUGCACACUACAAGCCUGGACAGGCUUGGCGGUGGACGGACACUCACAGAUCCACACGCAGCCGGGUCAGGACCACCGCCACUGCCCCUGCUCCCACCUCCUCACCCCCCUCCACCAGAGACCCUGCUAGUCGUCGUCGGGUCCCAUACCACCCUGUGUCCCCCCGCCACCGGGUAGCCAGGGCCCCUCACUGCUCACUCCUGGGUGUCUCCUCUGCGCGUCUACACUGCACGUUCCAGACAGUGCGCCCAUUCUCCAGGGUCUGUCUCCAACUCAGGGCCAGUGGGGUGGCCUUGGGCCCUGGCAGCUUUCAAGGAGAAGGAGCCGUGUCCUUUUCUUGGUUAAGGGCACCACCUUCACGCAGAGGCCCCAGCGGGAAACCACAGGGUCAUCCUAAAUUCCUUCCACCCUCCUCGGAUGUCCAGGAGGUCACAGAGGCCACCUCCUGACCCACUAACCCAGGCCUGCAGAACAGGAGCUGUCCUCACCUUCCUGUCACCCCGUGUCGUGUGCCAGGGUGGGGGAACCCAUCUCAGCAAGUUGGGGGACCCACCCUUUCCCCAGAGCCGUGGAAAUAGCAGGAGGGGGUAGGGAGCCCAGGCCUUGAAGGAGAGGGCAUCUGCUCCCUGUCCACACUCACC
rnacentral:lncRNA from 1 species